rnacentral:rRNA from 1 species
UACGGAGGGUGCAAGCGUUGUUCGGAUUUACUGGGCGUAAAGCGCGCGCAGGCGGAUGGACAAGUCGGAAGUGAAAUCCCAGGGCUCAACCCUGGGGCUGCUCCCGAAACUGUUCGUCUAGGGACUGGUAGAGGCUGGUAGAAUUCCCGGUGUAGCGGUGGAAUGCGUAGAGAUCGGGAAGAAUACCUGUGGCGAAGGCGGCUUGCUGGGCCAGUUCUGACGCUGAGGCGCGAAAGCGUGGGGAGCAAACAGG